rnacentral:rRNA from 1 species
CCUACGGGAGGCAGCAGUGGGGAAUAUUGGACAAUGGGGGGAACCCUGAUCCAGCCAUGCCGCGUGUGUGAAGAAGGCCCUCGGGUUGUAAAGCACUUUCAGUGAGGAAGAACGCCUGGUGGUUAAUACCCAUCAGGAAAGACAUCACUCACAGAAGAAGCACCGGCUAACUCCGAGCCAGCAGCCGCGGUAAUACGGAGGGUGCGAGCGUUAAUCGGAAUUACUGGGCGUAAAGCGCGCGUAGGUGGCUUGAUAAGCCGGUUGUGAAAGCCCCGGGCUCAACCUGGGAACGGCAUCCGGAACUGUCAAGCUAGAGUGCAGGAGAGGAAGGUAGAAUUCCCGGUGUAGCGGUGAAAUGCGUAGAGAUCGGGAGGAAUACCAGUGGCGAAGGCGGCCUUCUGGACUGACACUGACACUGAGGUGCGAAAGCGUGGGUAGCAAACAGGAUUAGAUACCCGGGUAGUC